CAAUUUUGUAAUUGUUAACAACAUUUUAGGGCGGUUUUGGGGGGUCAACUUUAUAAAUUCAAAUAGAAACCUAUACUUUUUUUGCAAUCAUAAUGUGGGGGAAUUUUUUUAAUGAAUUUUAGUGAAUGAACAACAUUAAUUAAUGCAAAGCUCUAUGCUUGAGAGCUAUUUACAAAUUUUAGAAAUUGCAAUAAAUUGACCCCAUGCCAACAAGUAGGUAGCUAAUAGUGUCACUACUAUCAACUCGUUUACAACUACUGUCAUACCCGUUAACCUAUUCAUAGAAAAAAGAGAUAAACCACUGCACUAUCAAUCGUCAACCACCUCGUAAGCAUUAAUCAUACUCAAAAGGUGAUAUCCUUAAUAUAACUUAUAAUGAGUAAUGACCAUUGACCGAUAAGCAGAAUAUUGUUCGUUUCGAAUAUCGAUAAGUACCUACGAGUGGCAGCGAUUACUACAGAACCCACGGCUUAUAAUAUCUAUGCUUAUUACCUUUUGAUAUAACUUCACACAGUGAUACCGCAAAAUAAAUUAAAUUAAGUUAAUUCUGUGGUCACUGGUCACACUAAAAAGCUAACCUUAAACUGUUUCAUUGUUGUAUUCUAAAUUCUAAUAUAAUAUGAUAACUGAUAAGUAUUCAAAUAUUUAAUAUUGUAUAUUGUAUAAGACUCACCAUCGCAUAUUCGCAAUCCGUAUAACUUAAAUUUGAAUUUGAAAAUAUAUGUAAUAAAUAAUAUGUGGAAAUGCGUUUUUUAUAAUACUGUAAUUUUUAAAGUAUUUCAUUUAUAAAUAAUCCAAUUUAAAAUAUGCUAUAAUUACUGGUAUUAUGCAAGCAAAUUGGAUACUUGGUUACUAUAGAAUACUUUUGCAACAUUUUUGUCGAAUCUGUUAUUCUGGAUAAAAUACAAUUUUUAUUUAAAUAUUGUACCUAUACAUAUGGAUCACUUAAAUUGUCUGUUGCUUGCGGAGAAAAUGUGUCACUUGCACAGUUGUACAGUAAGAAACAACACUUCAUAAAGAGUGAUAGGUUUCUGGUUAUUUACAAGCAAACACAGUUAUAGAAAAAAAUACCAGUGAAGCAAGUAUGAGUGUUUUAUUAUACAAUAUUCAUUGAAAAAUAACAUAAUCAAGCUACAUAAUAAUACAAUACAAACACCCAAGACAACAGACAUCUUGGACACUGUCUAUAAGAAUUAUUAUUUUAAUAUUUCCUAUUCAAAUUCUGGGGAUUCUACAUUUCAAUACAAAUAUAACCCAGAUUUCAAUAAGCAAGUUUCAACACAAAUUUUCAAAAUAUGCAUUGAUAUAAUGAAAAAUAAUAAUACUUUAUUUUCAUGAUAUAUUAAUUAUGGAUUGACAAUAGAAUAAAAUAACUAGUAAAUUUAAAGUUAACUCAUCAAAAUAAAAUUCUCACACACAAAACCUACAAUUGCAAACAAAUGAUUUGGAAAGACACCUUGAACAUGUUAGACUGGUGAAUGUGAUACAAAUUUUUCUUCAACAUUAUAUGGGAAAAACAAAAUUUCAUAAUAAUGGGCAGGUUCAAUCAAAUCAAGAUAACUUACUUUUACCUUUGACAAAAUUUUAGUUGAUAAUUAAUUUUAUAUAUUUAAAAUGUGUAACUAAAUAUUGAAGCAUUAUUAUAAUAACUAUUUCUUAUAAGUAGGGCUAAGAGUUUUUUUUUUUUUUAAUACUAAUAUUGUUUGUUUAACUUUGAUGUUCAAACAAUUUCAUCUUAUACCUAAUCUAACACUUAAUAAAAAAAAAUAAUAAGUAAUAAAGACUGAAGUCAUGAUAAAAGAUAUAUGAAAAGCUUAUAUUUUAUAGUAAAAAUCAAUGAUUUUUAAAUGAUAAUUAUAAUUUAACUCUUAAAAUUAAUAAGUAAAAUAGUCAAGAUUAAAGACAUUUACAAAAAUAUAGAUUUUAGAGCAACAAUUAAUAGUUUCUUAAAUAUUAAAAAUCUCUAGCCCUAUUUAUAUAUUGUAUUAUAGAAUUAUUAAAAAUGUACUUUAAUUUGUAUGAUCUUAUCUAGGAUUUUGGAUAUGUUCAUUUUUGAUAUUUUUUAUUAGUUUUGGUCUUACCCGAAUUUUGUUAUAAUUAGCAUUAUGGAAAUUUGGCCAAAAUCUACUAAAGAUCUCAAUUAUCGAUGUGUUCAUUAUCUUUGAUAAGUUAAUAUUAAAUUAAAGUCCAUUGUUCGGUUAUUUUCUAAGAUCGUAUAUGGUCUAUUCACACAAGUAAGAUAAUGUUAAGAAUAACGAUUUGUUGUACAAUUUAUUUUUACAUAAUAUAAAUUACUAUGUAUUUAUAAUAAGUGUUCAAAUUGUCUUCCUCUUUGAUUAAAACAUAUAUUUAAUCUUUUUUGGAAGUUA